rnacentral:rRNA from 1 species
UACGUAGGGGGCAAGCGUUGUCCGGAAUCAUUGGGCGUAAAGAGCGUGUAGGCGGCCCGGUAAGUCCGCUGUGAAAGUCAAGGGCUCAACCCUUGAAAGCCGGUUGAUACUGUCGGGCUAGAGUCCGGAAGAGGCGAGUGGAAUUCCGGGUGUAGCGGUGAAAUGCGCAGAUAUCGGGAGGAACACCAAUGGCGAAGGCAGCUCGCUGGGACGGUACUGACGCUGAGACGCGAAAGCGUGGGGAGCAAACAGG